rnacentral:rRNA from 1 species
UACGUAGGGUGCGAGCGUUAAUCGGAUUUACUGGGCGUAAAGCGUGCGCAGGCGGCCCGUUAAGACAGGUGUGAAAUCCCUGGGCUCAACCUAGGAAUUGCGCUUGUGACUGGCGGGCUCGAGUACGGUAGAGGGGGGUGGAAUUCCUGGUGUAGCAGUGAAAUGCGUAGAGAUCAGGAGGAACACCGAUGGCGAAGGCAGCCCUCUGGGCCUGUACUGACGCUCAUGCACGAAAGCGUGGGGAGCAAACAGG